rnacentral:miRNA from 12 species
UGAAUAUGUAACAUAUGCAUAUAUAUAUGUGUGUGUGUGUGUGUGUGUGUGUGUGUGUAUAUGUAUAUAUCACAGAUAAGAAAGUUUUAUGAUCUCAAAGAUAC